GUAGGAUUCCUAACAGCAGGAGCAGGGGCUGUCUCUGAUUCUGUUGCCUGCCCUUGGAUCCUUUCCCCACA
rnacentral:miRNA from 14 species